CAGGAAUGUCGCAUUUCAGGAGUGUUCAAACUACUAAAAAAGAAUUCUACAUAAAGACCUCAGGAAUACAGUAUCCCAAGAGCUUUUUGUCUCCUGUUCUUUGCCAAAACGCCUUGGAGCCUUGAAGGAGCGACGAGGCUUCACCAUGCUUCCACCUGCAAGACAAGAAACAGCAAAAGAAAAAAAAAAGAAUAAAUUCUGCGUAAAGAUCACAGGAAUGCAGUAUUUCAAUAGUGAAGGUUCAGUGGUAACAAUGGCUUAUUUUCGUAUGUUGUUUCAUCUGGGCCAUCGGAGAAGAGAGCUACAAGUAACCUACACUGAUUUAAGAGAAAACAAACAAUAUUUGAGUGCCCGAAGAAGUUUGGUGCAAAGUAUCAGUAUACGAAUUUUAUAUGAGCGCCGACAUAACUCCGUGACCAGACUCAAGGACAUUUAUUUUUUGUGCAGCAUCUCGGUGCGGACAAGAAGCGCCUUUUUUCUAAGUGGUAGACUGCUGAUCUGUCUGUCUUACAGAAAAUGAUAAAUCAGUUUGCAAAUGUUAUAUGAGUGCCAACAAAACUCAGUGUAAGAAUACACACCGGGCUCCCUUUUACUUACCUUGUUCAUCAGACUAAAGCAUACUUACCUGGUUCCUGGGUAUGCUCACCUUGCGCCUGAGUCCAAGCAUACUUACCUUGAUACCCGUGUAUGCUCACCUGGUUCCUGAAAGUCAAGCAUAAUAAUCUGAUACCUGUGUAUGUUCACCUGGUUCCUGAAACCAGAGCAUACUUACCUGAUACUUAGUAUGCUCACCUUGUUCCUGAGACCAAGCAUACUUACCAUGCACCCACGUAUGCUCACCUGGUUCCUGAAAGUAUACCGUGAUGAAAAGUUGACGUACGAGACGAGCAAUUUCAAUAAUUGAGUUUAAUAGCAAACUACUAAAAGAACUACGGUGUAAAGAUCACAGGAAUGUCGCAUUUCAAGAGUGUUUUGGUCAGAAUGAAUUCUAUCGUAUAAUGUUUAAUCUGAGACAUUGUAGAAGAGAUCAGCAAUAACCAUACACCUAUACAAGAUGACUGAUGCCAAAUACAGGCACAAAACCCUUUAUCUCCAAAAUGCUUGGUACCAGAAAAGGUUUGUAUAUUUGCAGCUGUAUAAAAAUCAAUAUCUUAUGUCAUUAGGCAACAUUAACACGUCAUUAUACAUCUUAUACAUGUAACCAAAAGGUUUAAUACUUCUAUAAACUUAGUACCCUCAGAAAGAUAGUACAGGUCUGUAAUCAGAAAGGUAACGGCUUUUGUUCUAAAUAAAUAUACGCUAUUAUUUGCAUUUUAGAACACAUAAAGAAAAGAUGCAGGCAGAGAAAAAAUGUGACUUGCAAAAUACAGAAUUUCCUUCCUAAACAUGUACAUUAAAUCAUUUUUUUA